CCUGCUGGGCCACCAGGUUGAUCUACUGUAUUAGGUCUCUACUAGUAGUAACAGUAGACUACUCCCUGCUGGGCCACCAGGUUGAUCUACUGUAUUAGGUCUCUACUAGUAGUAACAGUAGACUACUCCCUGCUGGGCCACCAGGUUGAUCUACUGUAGUGAGUCUCUACUAGUAGUAACAGUAGACUACUCCCUGCUGGGCCACCAGGUUGAUCUACUGUAGUGAGUCUCUACUAGUAGUAACAGUAGACUACUCCCUGCUGGGCCACCAGGUUGAUCUACUGUAGUGAGUCUCUACUAGUAGUAACAGUACAUUACUCCCUGCUGGGCCACCAGGUUGAUCUACUGUAGUGAGUCUCUACUAGUAGUAACAGUACAUUACUCCCUGCUGGGCCACCAGGUUGAUCUACUGUAGUGAGUCUCUACUAGUAGUAACAGUACAUUACUCCCUGCUGGGCCACCAGGUUGAUCUACUGUAGUGAGUCUCUACUAGUAGUAACAGUACAUUACUCCCUGCUGGGCCACCAGGUUGAUCUACUGUAGUGAGUCUCUACUAGUAGUAACAGUACAUUACUCCCUGCUGGGCCACCAGGUUGAUCUACUGUAGUGAGUCUCUACUAGUAGUAACAGUACAUUACUCCCUGCUGGGCCACCAGGUUGAUCUACUGUAGUGAGUCUCUACUAGUAGUAACAGUACAUUACUCCCUGCUGGGCCACCAGGUUGAUCUACUGUAGUGAGUCUCUACUAGUAGUAACAGUACAUUACUCCCUGCUGGGCCACCAGGUUGAGCUAUUGAGUCUCAGGCUGGUAGGGCUUUCUUUUUUCUGAAAUCAAGCGCAGUAGGCGGAAUAAAUAAACAAAUAUUCAAUACUGUCACUGAGUGAGUCUGAAAUGUCACUACUAUAAUGCCUUACUUUUGACUCGAGCCCAUAGGGCUCUGAUCAAAAGCAGUGCACUAUAAAGGGAAUAGGGUGCCAUUUGGCACCUUGGUCAAAGGUAGUGCCAAUUUCGAUGCAGCCACUAUUUACAUGGUUUAGACGCAAUACUCUCCCAUUACCGAAUUCAUACCGCUACCUAAAUAGUAAAGACCCCCUUUAUUGGGUCAUAGCCAACAAAUCAGCCUGUUACCAACCCUUAGUAGUUUUAGAAAAAAUGGUUUGACCAGUUACAAUGCUAUUUUACAGUAAACAAAUUGACAACUGACUUUCAGCACGCUUCUAGGGAAGGACAUUCAACAAGCACAACACUUACACAAAUGACUGAUUGGCUGAGCGAAAUUGAUAAAAAGAUGUUGGUCUGUUUUGUUAGACUUCAGUGCGGCUUUUGACAUUAUCGGUCAUAGUCUGCUGCUGGAAAAUUGUGUUAUGGCUGCUAUGUUGUGGAUAAAGAGUUACCUGUCUAACAGAACAGAGGUUAUUUAAUGGAAGCCUCUCCAACAUAAUCCAGGUAGAAUCAGGAAUUCCCCUAGCCAAUUGUGUUGGCCUCUUUCAAUAUUUACUAACAACAUGCCACUGGCUUUAUUCAAAGCUAAAUAUGUCUGCAUGCGGAUGACUCCACUAUACACAUCAGCAACUACAGUGAUUGAAAUGGUGGCAACACUCAAGGAGCUGCAGUUUCAGAAUGGGUGGCAAGGAAUACGUUGGUCCUACAUUUUACAAACUAAAAGCAUUGUAUUUGGGAGAAUUCAUUCACAAAACCCUAAACCUCAACUAAAUAUUGUAAUAAAUACUGUGCAAGUCGAGGUGACUAAACUGCUUGGAGUAACCCUGGAUUGUAAACUGUCAUGGUCAAAACAUACUGAUGCAGUAGUAGCUAAGAUGGGCAGAAGUCUGUCCAUAAAGCACUGCUCUACCUUAACAGCACUAUCAACAAGGCAGGUCCUACAGGCCCUAGUUUAGUCGCACCUGGACUACUGUUCAGUCGUGUGGUCAGGUGCCACAAAGUGACUUAGGAAAAUUGCAACUGGCUCAGAACAGGGCAGAACGGUUGGCCCUUGGAUGUACACAGCAACCAUUAACAAUAUGCAUGUCAAUCUCUCCUUGAUCAAAGUGGAGGAGAGGAUGACUUCAUCACUACUUGUGUUUGUAAGAGGUAUUGACAUGUUGAAUGCACCGAGCUGUCUGUUUAAACGACUAGCACACAGCUCAGACACCGAUGCAUACCCCACAAGACAUACCACCAGAGGCCUCUUCACUGUCCCCAAGUCUAGAACUGACUAUGGGAGGCUCACAGUACUACAUAGAGUCAUCACUACAUGGAACUCUAUUCCACAUCAAGACAACUAAUGCAAGCAGUAGAAUCAGAUAUAUAUUUUUUAAACAUAAAACUACACCUUAUGGAACAGCGGAAACUGUGAAGCAACACAAACAUACGCACUAUACACACACGAUAACAUACGCACUAUACACACACGAUAACAUACGCACUAUACACACACGAUAACAUACGCACUAUACACACACGAUAACAUACGCACUAUACACACACGAUAACAUACGCACUAUACACACACGAUAACAUACGCACUAUACACACACGAUAACAUACGCACUAUACACACACGAUAACAUACGCACUAUACACACACGAUAACAUACGCACUAUACACACACGAUAACAUACGCACUAUACACACACGAUAACAUACGCACUAUACACACACGAUAACAUACGCACUAUACACACACGAUAACAUACGCACUAUACACACACGUACACAUGGAUUUUGUGAUGGAGCUAUGUGGUACUGCUGUAGGGGCCUGGGGGCACACACUUAGUGUAUUGUGAAAUCUGUUAUGAAUAUAUUGUAAUGUUUUAAAAAUUGUAUAACUGCCUUCAUUUUGCUGGACCCCAGGAAGAGUAGCUGCAGGAAGAGGAGCUGCUGCCCUGGCCGGAACUAAAAGGGGAUCCAUAAUAAAUACAAAUACCUGGAAGGUCAAUCAUUAUGAACCGUCUGCCUCUGAAUGUGUCAUAGCUCUGUUUGUUAGUCACUGUGAUCUGAAAUGGAGAGAUGUUUUACCCUUAUCCUUACACCGUUACAGGCUCUGUUUGUUAGUCACUGUGAUCUGAAAUGGAGAGAUGUUUUACCCUUAUCCUUACACCGUUACAGGCUCUGUUUGUUAGUCACUGUGAUCUGAAAUGGAGAGAUGUUUUACCCUUAUCCUUACACCGUUACAUGCUCUGUUUGUUAGUCACUGUGAUCUGAAAUGGAGAGAUGUUUUACCCUUAUCCUUACACCGUUACAGGCUCUGUUUGUUAGUCACUGUGAUCUGAAAUGGAGAGAUGUUUUACCCUUAUCCUUACACCGUUACAGGCUCUGUUUGUUAGUCACUGUGAUCUGAAAUGGAGAGAUGUUUUACCCUUAUCCUUACACCGUUACAGGCUCCAAACUGUUCCCAGAAAUAUCCUUUAUGCAAUUCAUGCUUCAUAUGUUUCAGUGCAGAAUCAUAUUUCAACUGAGUUAAGUUUUAAACUAAAUCCUCAUGACAGUUACUGUGUCCCAAAUGGCACCCUAUUCCUCAGCUUGGCUACGGUCAAAAGUAGUGCACUAUGUAGGGAAUAAGGUGCUAAAUGGGGCCCCUAGUUGAUGAGUCGGUACUGUGUACUGCUAUCAUACUCUCUCCCUGGGCUAGUAGAGGAAGCCGUUAUCAUGGGUAAAACGAAGCCAGCUGGGAAGGACUACAUGUUGCACAUAAACAGCAUGGGAUCAUUGUAGACCCACCCUGCUUUUCAGAAUGAGAGAGUGAGAGAGUUUAGACACCUACCAAUGUGCUGUAAGUUGUUCUAGAUGCAAGUGUCUGCUAAAUGAUUCAAAUGUUAUGUAAAUGAUGAUCACUGCAGACUGCUGCAUGAAUGUCAUUUGUGACACACCUAUGCAUGUAAUGAUGCUUUAAAUGAAAAAAAAAUGUGAAGAAAUUACAAUGAACAUUUAUCUGUUCAUUUGGAAUGCAUUACGUUGUUGCUACUGGUCAAUCAUUAAAGGUAUAAUCCCAAACUUCAGGUUCUGCUGUUUUUAAAGAGGUGACUUAAUCUUCGCCUUACCAUAGUGUUUCAGGAAGGGUUGAAAUUCAUUCUGGACUGUCUUUCUCUGCAACUGGAACACAGACCGCUGCCACAUGGGCAUAAUACUGUGUACAAGUAGAUAGGAACACAAGCACCAAAGGACAUCACUAUUUGAUAGGUUACAUUUACAUGAGGUUACAAAUAACAUGGAACUUGGGCAGUGAACUGAUUUGCACUUGAACACCGUGUCCACGCCACUACUCAGCCUCAUGGCAUACAACAAUACACUUGACAUGGCUGCUGAAAUUAUUCUUAAAGUCAAUUCACAAACUGCUGUCAUCCGACAUCAGCAUAUAUAUUAGCAUUUUUGCAGGGGUAUGACAUUUGUGCAUCUAACCUUCUCACUCAUCAUUAUUCACGAUUCAUUCAGGACUAUCCCUAAUCAUGGUAGCAUCCACAUGAAUGUAUUAGUGUUUAGAAACAUAUAUUCUUAUUUACAAUAAAAGUCACUUCAAAAUGUCUCAAAUUAUUUACCAUGUCAUUAUCUAAUGGGAACAAAAUAAUCUGAAACACAAGCAAAGCAAAAACCAAGAAAGGUUCAAAUCUCACCUUGUAAAAAACUGUUUUAAACAAGCGGAGGUGUGGUCAUAUUUUAGGACCCAAACUCAGGUACUCAUGUCUUUCCUAUUCAACUAAACGGCAUGAAUAAGGCUUGUAAUGACUUCUAAUUUUUGUAAAUAUAUUAUAUUCAAUUUAUAGAACGACUAACUAAGA